UACGGGGGGGGCAAGCGUUGUUCGGAAUUACUGGGCGUAAAGGGCUCGUAGGCGGCCAACUAAGUCAGACGUGAAAUCCCUCGGCUUAACCGGGGAACUGCGUCUGAUACUGGAUGGCUUGAGUUUGGGAGAGGGAUGCGGAAUUCCAGGUGUAGCGGUGAAAUGCGUAGAUAUCGAGAGGAACACCUGCGGCGAAGGCGGGUUGCUGGGCUGAUACUGACGCUGAGGCGCGAAAGCUAGGGGAGCGAACGGG
rnacentral:rRNA from 1 species